UACGUAGGGGGCAAGCGUUGUCCGGAUUUAUUGGGCGUAAAGAGCGUGUAGGCGGCUUGGUAGGUCUGCUGUGAAAACUCGGGGCUCAACCCCGAGACGUCGGUGGAAACCACCUGGCUAGAGUCCGGAAGAGGAGAGUGGAAUUCCUGGUGUAGCGGUGAAAUGCGCAGAUAUCAGGAAGAAUAUCCGUGGCGAAGGCGGCUCUCUGGGACGGUACUGACGCUGAGGAGCGAAAGCGUGGGGAGCGAACAGG
rnacentral:rRNA from 1 species